rnacentral:rRNA from 1 species
CGCAGAUAUCAGGCACACACCWAMYUAGCCCAAGACAUCCAGCUUCGUCACACCCCUACGGGCAUGCAGCAGUAAUUAACAUUGGGCACUAAAUGCAAAUUUGACCCAGCAAUGGCAAACUACGUCGGUCAACCUCGUGCCAGCCACCGCGGUUAUACGAAGGACGAAAACUAACAGCUAAACGGCAAAAAGCGUGACUAGAUUAUUCUGUCGGGAUAAAAACAUUAAUUUAGCAGUAAAAUACAACAAUAAAUUAGAAUUACCCACAUCCCACCUAAACAUUUUACCACGAAAGCUAAGGCACAAACUAGGAUUAGAUACCCUACUAUGCUUAAGCCAUAAAUUAGACAGCACAUCACACUGUCCGCCAGAGGACUACAAGCAACAGCUUAAAACUCAAAGGACUUGACGGUGUCCCACACCAGCCUAGAGGAGCCUGUCCACUAACCCGACACCACCCGUUGUACCUAACCACCCCUUGCAAACCCAGCCUAUAUACCGCCGUCGUCAGUCUACCUUACGAAAGCACCAGUAGACAAAAAAAUCCACCCACUAACACGUCAGGUCGAGGUGUAGCUAAUGGGGCGGUCACGAUGGGCUACAUUUUCCUAACAGGACCACACGAAUGGUAGCAUGAAUAUGCUACCUGAAGGCGGAUUUAGCAGUAAGGUAACAAAAAUACAUACCUUAACCAUGCCCUGGGACGCGUACACACCGCCCGUCACCCUCUUCACACGGCUCUCCUAACAAAUACAUAAUAUAAUUAAAUCACCAACUAGAAGAGAUAAGUCGUAACAUGGUAAGCGUACUGGAAAGUGCGC